AUGUUUUACCAUCCUUGUGAGAGGCUUCUCUCAUGUCCCCACAAGGAGCUGGAGCUGACAGAGGGAGCUCAUCUGCACUUUCCUCGGGUUGGAUUUGAACAGGCAACCUUCAGACCAGUCACCCAACUUUCAAGGUGGAGGCAUUACUUUUCAUUCAAUCCUCGGACCUGGACACUGGCCCUGGAUUCAGCAGGAGGAAUGCUACCACUACACCAUGAGAUCUCUUUGCAGAAGGCAUCACAUCAGGCUUUUGCCAUUUUCAGUUCAAAAAAUCAGAUUGCAGCAGCCAGGGAAGACCUGCUGGGGAACCUGGAAAGACAGCCUCUCGUCUUGCCAGAUGGAGAGGAAGCCAGCUGUACAGGAAUGGAAUUCAUGCAGAGUGCUGACUCACAGAGUCACUUCCUCGCCAACAAGUAUGAGACCAGCUUUUUCUCUCUGCCAUUACAGCACACAGAAAGCAAGCAUAUUACAGAAAAUUCUUCACAUGUGUCUUUAACACUUUGGAGUCCACAAUUUUACUAA
rnacentral:lncRNA from 1 species